rnacentral:lncRNA from 1 species
CCCAACAAUCACCAAUGAGACACAACAUCCGCCCCGUGCUCCCGGUCCGUUGGUUUAGCAGCUGCCUGUCAGUGACGGGAUCGCUCACACCGAGGUAGUUUCCGCCGGUAACAGCUGAGGUCCCACCUCCACGCUGGGCCCUGAGGGGAUCCGGGCCCGUCCGGCGUGCCAGAUCCCCUCGAGGCAGUAGGACUUGAGUCUGUGCCUUCUCCGCGACCCGCCCGCCUGACCUUCCUCCGUCCCUCUCGAGGGAAGCGGCUGUUUUCUCCUCCCCGCCUCCAUCCCGUCCCAGGCAGGCCGCUGCUCUCUAGUUGGGACCUAAGCUGGGCACUGCCCGGUCGCGAAUCAUGGCUCCUGCUACUCACAUGCCCCGGCACCCGUGUUUCCCAGGUCUCCCCACAUUGCCUUGCCCCACGACCCCACCAUUCGCCAAAUCUGGAUGGAUACCUAUCAAGGUGACAAGCUUGGCUCCUGGAUGGAAUUGGAUGGGAAUCAAGAGGAAUUUUUGACCUCUUUAUAUUGUAUACAUUUAAAAUUUUUAAUUUUCUUUUUAUUCAUUUUUUAAAUAAAGUUUUUCAUUUUAUAUUGAGUAUAGUUCAUUUACAAUGUUCUGUU